AUUGAACGCUGGCGGCAUGCUUUACACAUGCAAGUCGAACGGCAGCGCGGGCUUCGGCCUGGCGGCGAGUGGCGAACGGGUGAGUAAUACAUCGGAACGUGCCCAGUAGUGGGGGAUAGCUCGGCGAAGGCCGGAUUAAUACCGCAUACGACCUGAGGGUGAAAGCGGGGGAUCUUCGGACCUCGCGCUAUUGGAGCGGCCGAUGGCAGAUUAGCUAGUUGGUGGGGUAAAGGCCUACCAAGGCGACGAUCUGUAGCUGGUCUGAGAGGACGACCAGCCACACUGGGACUGAGGCACGGCCCAGACUCCUACGGGAGGCAGCAGUGGGGAAUUUUGGACAAUGGGCGAAAGCCUGAUCCAGCAAUGCCGCGUGUGUGAUGAAGGCCUUCGGGUUGUAAAGCACUUUUGGCGGGAACGAAAAGGACUGUGCCAAUACCACGGUUCGAUGACGGUACCCGCAGAAUAAGCACCGGCUAACUACGUG
rnacentral:rRNA from 1 species